UACAGAGGUCCCGAGCGUUGUUCGGAUUUAUUGGGCGUAAAGGGUGCGUAGGCGGCGGAGUAAGUUGGGUGUGAAAUCCCGGGGCUCAACCUCGGAAUUGCAUUCAAUACUGCUUCGCUCGAGUACUGGAGAGGAGGCUGGAAUUCCAGGUGUAGCGGUGAAAUGCGUAGAUAUCUGGAGGAACACCGGUGGCGAAGGCGGCAUCCUGGACCAAUACUGACGCUGAGGAGCGAAAGCCAGGGGAGCAAACGGG
rnacentral:rRNA from 1 species